GGGAGCUGAAAUAUGAUGGCUAUGAAAUGUAUCAAAAAACUUAGGUUGGUAAUUGUGGAGCUAGUUAUCCUCAUAAUAAUUGAAUUGCAUGGCAGUGACCAUACCCAUUUCUCUUACAAUCCAGCUCCAGUUCCUACUAGCCUUGAUGCCUUCCAAAUUGAUCAUACUUACAAUCAACUUUGCCUUGAAAGCACAGUUGAAAAGUGUGAAAAAAUACAAAAUUUAAUUGCUUUGGAGAAAUGUGUUAUUCGUAAUCUUUUUUUUUGCCUUUUUAAGCAUCCAAUACAUCAAAAUAUUCCUCUAAGAGAGCGUAUAACCAUUCACCAAAAAUGCAUUAUUGAAUGUUUUGGGCGGCUUAGAGGCAUCCGAGGUGCACAAUGUUUGUUAGACUGCUAUGAAGGGAAAAUGAACAAGCAUUAAACAAAAAUUGAUGAGCUCCAAGACUGUUUGCAGAAUUGAAGCCGAGGACUUCAUCUGAGAAAAAGUAUUACUUAAAAGCUAAGAAAAUAGCUGCAGAGUGAGCAAUAACCUUUACAACAUAUUCAUCAUAGAUGGAAUGGUCGUAGUGGUGUUUGAAGUGUACGUCUUUAGAGACUUGGCUUAAUUAGUUUCUUUUGAUGUACUAUAACUAGCGGUUUUGUGCAUUGUACGUUUGUCAAAAAUGUACCAAUUUACUGUGAACAACCUUUAAGUAAUAUGGUUUAGUGAAGUUCUUCGAUUUACGCUUU